UACGGAGGGGGCUAGCGUUGUUCGGAAUCACUGGGCGUAAAGCGCACGCAGGCGGAUUGAUAAGUCAGGGGUGAAAUCCCGGAGCUCAACUUCGGAAUUGCCUUUGAUACUGUCUGUCUUGAGUCCGGGAGAGGUGAGUGGAAUUCCUAGUGUAGAGGUGAAAUUCGUAGAUAUUAGGAAGAACACCAGUGGCGAAGGCGGCUCACUGGCCCGGUACUGACGCUCAUGUGCGAAAGCGUGGGGAGCAAACAGG
rnacentral:rRNA from 1 species